UUCUUAUUAGCUCAAUGGUAGAGCAUGAUAUUUCUAAUAUCUUGAUUUAAGUUCGAGUCUUAAAUAGGAAC
rnacentral:tRNA from 1 species